rnacentral:misc_RNA from 1 species
ACCUCAUGUUAUUGAUGAGGCUACUAUGGUUAUGCUGCUGCUGGAAUAUAGCUUUUAGAUCCUUCCACCAAGGAGAGCAGUCUGCACUGUUUCUUCCUGAACAUAAAGCAUUCCACCCACCAUAUUUAGACAUCAAAACUCUAGCCCAAAGCUGAUUCUAGUUAUUAGCCAGGUCCCAUCCCCAUUUACCAAUCAAGGCCUCAUUAAACUUGGGUAAAUCUUUGAUCCCCAGCCCUCCUUUAUUCUUGGGAAGACAAACAAUAUCCCAACUUACC